rnacentral:lncRNA from 1 species
CGGGGAACAAGCGGCUGCGCAGAGCCUGCAAGUCCAGAAGGGGCUGCACCCUCACGGCCGUUCGCUGGGUUCGCCAGACCCGGUGUUAGUGUCGGUUUGAAUCACCGCAGCCACCCUCCCGUGGUGUCACCGUAGGCCCCACAGGGGCUGACAGAUUGGAGGACGUGUGAGUGGGGCGCGGCUCGCGGGGCGGGGCACACAGGCGGAGAUGGAGAGCGGGUACUUACCCAGAGCGCAGGGGCCCUGUGGUCUCACGCCGACUUUCACGCACUGCACACCGCAGCCCCACGGCGACUGGGUAAAGCCUGUCUUUCCAUCUCACCCAGGUUUCGACACCUCAGAACCAGACCACUGCCUUUCUCAUCAUCUGCUCAAGAGACACGGUUGACCGAGACUUCGGACUCGGGCAGGGCGCCUUAGCUCACUCAGCAGGUGACGUAGCCCCCUAUUUGGAGCCGUCUUCUCCCUUUGUCCAGCUGCCUCUAAGGAUGCGUCUGGAGGGACUUCAACUCACUGUCCGGGACUGAACAUCUCCCGUCUCCCACGGCACCGGGCACACGCUGGGCUCUUCCUGCUGACCUCAGGGGAGCUGGGUUCAGAUGGCAGGAAAAUGAACCUGGCUUUGCCACGCUCCAGUUCACCUGCCUCCUUGCACACCUGAGUUCAGGAGCCUCGUCCCUCCACCAGAGGGCGUGGCAGCAUGGAUGCCAGCCGCACCUGGGCUCUGCCAGGUGUUCCGACCGCAGCCCUUUGGAAGGUUCUGUCCCGCGUCCCCUCGCUGACGGACCCCAGGGCCGGGUGACAUGCCCGCCCACCGCAGACUCAGCAGACGGGCUGAAUGGAGGAAGGUCAUUCCCAUGGCGCGUCCCCGAGACCCGACUCCUGGUGGAGACCCUGCCAGCAGCACGGCCCCCAGGUAAUGGCCUUGCGGGACUCCCGGGCCUCGAGGUGCCCAGCAAGAGCACUGGGGGGGGCUGCUGCUCAGGUGGGCGGACAACGAUGUUGGUGUCAGGAAGCCCUGGGCCUCAAACCUGACUCUGCGGCUGUGUGUCACCGAAAAUUCACGUAACCUCUCUGAGCUUCUGUUUUCUCAACUGCAGAAGGGGGCUUAUGCUGCUUUCUUUAGAGAGCUGUUGUGAGCGUUAAUGGCCAGACCCCCGGAGCGAGAACAAAUGACGCCGGUUCAGCACGCGUGCUGCGCGCCGGGCUCCGUGUUAGGAGGUGGCAGGCUCACGCACUCACACAGGCUCACCGCCCACCCCUGGGGCUGUUGACUAAGCUCCUGCUCUGUGCUUGGUGUCCCCGGGGAUACGGAGGUGGACACCACGACCUCCUGGC